UGCAUGGAAGACAUGGGCGUC
rnacentral:siRNA from 1 species